rnacentral:lncRNA from 1 species
AGGCAGCCUGUUGGGCAGCAUCUUGCAAAUUAAGAAUCUUGUCUGUGGUUCCAUAACACAGAAAGGGGUGAUUUUCUCUUGUAAAGUGGUUUGAACCCCACAGCCAUGGCACUAGCGAGCAGGGUCAUCAGAGCUGCUCCAUUCUUCUGGAAGCUGCAGAGAAAGGGAGCCCGGAAACCUGGUAUGCCGGCAAAAAGGGCUGGAGUGCAAUGACACGAUCUUGGCUGACUGCAACCUCUGCCUCCCGGGUUCAAGCAAUUCUCCUGCCUCAGCCUCCUGAGCAGAUGGGAUUACAGGUCUUUAGAUAAACUCUUUCAACCAACUGCCAAUCAGAAAAUCUGUGAAUCUGCCUGUGAUCUGGAAGCCUCUGCUUCCUGGUGUGCCACCUUUCCCGUCUGAACUGAUGUACAGCUUAAAUGUAUUGAUUGAUGCCUUAUGCCCUAUAGCAUGUAUAAAACCUAGCUGUGCCCUGAUCACCUGGGUCACACGUUCUCCGGGUCUCCUGAGGACUGUGUCACGGGCUGUGGUCACUCACGUUUGGCUCGAAAUAAAUCUCUCCAAUAUUUUACAGAG